rnacentral:rRNA from 1 species
AUUGAACGCUGGCGGCAGGCCUAACACAUGCAAGUCGAGCGGAUGAAGGGAGCUUGCUCCUGGAUUCAGCGGCGGACGGGUGAGUAAUGCCUAGGAAUCUGCCUGGUAGUGGGGGAUAACGUCCGGAAACGGGCGCUAAUACCGCAUACGUCCUGCGGGAGAAAGUGGGGGAUCUUCGGACCUCACGCUAUCAGAUGAUCCUAGGUCGGAUUAGCUAGUUGGUGGGGUAAAGGCCUACCAAGGCGACGAUCCGUAACUGGUCUGAGAGGAUGAUCAGUCACACUGGAACUGAGACACGGUCCAGACUCCUACGGGAGGCAGCAGUGGGGAAUAUUGGACAAUGGGCGAAAGCCUGAUCCAGCCAUGCCGCGUGUGUGAAGAAGGUCUUCGGAUUGUAAAGCACUUUAAGUUGGGAGGAAGGGCAGUAAGUUAAUACCUUGCUGUUUUGACGUUACCAACAGAAUAAGCACCGGCUAACUUCGUG